rnacentral:lncRNA from 1 species
AGGGAAAAACUGAAUAUCCCUAGAUAAAAACCAAAAAGAAGCUACCUGUGAAAUUGCUUUGUAAUGUGUGGAUUCAUUUCAAAGAGAAAAACCUGUUUUUUUGACUCAGCAGGUUGGAAACACUCUUUUUGUAGAAUCGUCAAAGGGAUGUUUGUGAGCCCAUGGUGGCUUAGGAAAAAAUCUAGAAAGAGGCUAUCUGUGAAACCUCUUUGAGAUGUGUGGAUUCAUCUCACAGAACUAAAUCUUUCUCUCGAUUCAGCAGGUUGGAACCACUAUUUUGGAGAAUCUGCAAAGAGACAUUUUAGAGCCCACUGGGGCCUAUGGGAAAAAAUGGAAUAUCCUCAGAUAAAAACUAGGAAGAAGCUAUCCAUGAAAUUGCUUUGUGAUGUGUGUAUUUGUCUCAAAGAGUUAAACCUUUCUACUGAUUCAGCAGGUUGGAAACACUCCUUUUGUAAAAUCUGUGAAGGGACAUUUGGGCACUUACUGAGGACUGUGGGGAAAAAUCGAAUAUCCCUACAUAAAAACUAGAAAGAAGCUAUCUGUGUAACUGCCUUGUGAUGUCUGUAUUCAUCUCACAGAGUUAAACCUUUUAUUGUUUCGGCAGGUUAAAACACUCUUUUCUUAGAAUCUGUGAAAGGACAUUUGGGAAUCCAUUGAGGCCUAUGGGACAAAACAAAAAUCCCCAGAUAAAAACUAGAAAGAAGCUGUCUGUGAAACUCCUUUGUGAUGUGUGGACUCAUCUCACAGAGUUAAACCUUUCUUUUGGUGAAGCAGGUUGGAAACACUGUUUCUGGAAAAUCUGGAAGGGAACGUUUGAGAUCCCAUUGAUGCCAAUGAGGCAAAACCAAAUAUACAGAUAGACACGGGAAAGAAGAUACCUGUGAAUCUGAUUUGUGAUGUGUGGAUUCUUCUCAAAGUGUUAAACCUUUCUUUUCAUUCAUCACGUUGGAAACACUCUUUUUGGACAAACUGUGAAGGGAAAUUUGUGUGCCUGUUGAGGCCUAGAAGUAAAAACCAAAUAUCCUAAGAUAAAAACUAGAAAGAAGCUAUCUUUGAAAGCGUUUAUUGAUGUGUGGAUUUAUCUCAUAGAAUUAAAUGCUUCCUUUGAUUCAGCUGAUGAAAACACUCUUUAUGUAGAAUCUGCGAAGAGACAUUUGGGAGCCCUUUGACACCUAUGGGGAAAAACAGAAUAUCCUCAGAUAAAUACUAAAAAAAAGCUAUCUGAAAAACUGCUUUGUGAUGUGUGGAUUCACCUCUCAGUGUUAAAACUUUCUAUUGUUUUAGCAGGUUGGAAACACUCACUUUCGAGUAUCUGAGAACGGAUAUUUUGGAGGCCGUUGAGGCCUAUAAGAAAAAAAGCAGAAUAUCCCCAGAUAAAAACUAUAAAGAAGCUAUCUAUGAAACUGCUUUCUGAUGCAUGAAUUUGACUCACACAGUUAAAACUUUAUUUUGUUUCAGCAGGUUGGAAACACCCUUUCUGAUUAUCUGCGAAGGGACAGUCAGUAGUCCAUUGAUGUCUAUGAAAAAAACCCCAAAUAGCCCAAGAUAAUAACUAGGAAGAAGCCAUGCAUGAAGCUACUUUGUGAUUUGUAGAUUCACCUCACAAAGUUAAAACUUUCUUUUGAUUCAGCACUUGGAAACAUUCUUUUUGGAGAAUCCGUGAAGGGACAUUUAAGAACCAAUUGAGGCCUAUGGGAAAAAAAACCAGAUAUCCCCAGAUAAAAGCUACAGAGAAGCUGCUUGUGAAGCUUUUUUGCAAUGUGUCAAUUCAUCUCACAGUGCUAAACCUUUCUUUUGAGGAACCAGGUUGGAAACACUGUUAUUGUAGAAUCUGCAAAGGGACAUUUGGGAGUCCAUUGUGGCCUAAGGGAAAAAAAAAUAUCCCAAGAUAAAAAAUACAAAGAACCAAUCUGUGAAACUGCUUUGUGAUUUGUGGAUUCACCUCACAGAGUUAAACUUUUCUGUUUAUUAAGCAAGCUGGAAACAGUCUUUUUGGAGGAUCAGUGAAGGGACAUUUUGGACCCCAUUGAGGCCUAAGGGAUAAAACUGAAUAUCCCAAGAUAAAAACUGGAAAGAAGCUGUGGGUGGAACUGUUUUUUGAUGUUUGGAUUCAUCUCACAGAAUUAAACCUUUCUUUUCUUUCAGCACGUUGGAAAUACUCUUUUUGGAGAAUCUGCAAAGGGACAUUUGGGAGCCCAUUGAGGUCUAUGGGAAAAAAUGUCAUAUCCCCAGAUAAAAACUAGAAAGAAACUAUCAGUGAAACUGCUUGUCAUGUGUGGAUUCAUCCCCCAGAGUUAAACCUUUCUUUUAAUUCAGCAGGUUGGAAACACUCUUUUUGAGGAAUCUGUGAAGAGAUACUUGAGAGCUUAUUGAGGCCUAUGGGGAAAAACAGAAUAUAAACAACUAAAAACUAGAAAGAAAUCUAUGAAACUGCUUUGUGGUUGGAACACUCUAUUUGGAGAAUCUACAAACGGACAUUUUAAGGAAAAACCCAAUAUUCCCAGAUAAAAACCAGAAAGAAGCUAUCGGUGAAACUUGUUCAUGAUGUGUGGAUUCACCUCUUUUUGUAGAAUGUAUGAAGAGACAUUUGGGACCCCAUUUAUGCCCAUGGGGAUAAACUCUAUAUCCCCAGAUAAAAACUAGAAAGAAGCAAUCUGUGAAACUACUUCAUCAAGUGUGGAUUCAUCUCACAGAGUUAAAUCUUUCAUUUGAUUCAGCAUUCAGCAUGUGGGAAACACUCUUUUUGUGGUACCUGCAAAUAAAUAUUUUGGAGCUUAUAAAGGCCUAAGGGAAAAACUGAAUAUCCCCAUAUAAAAACUGCAAAGAAACUAUCUGUGAAACUGCUUUGAGAUGUUUGGGUUUACUUCACAGACUUAACCCUUUCUUUUGGUUUAGCAGGUUGGAAACACUGUUAUUGGAUAACCUUAGAAGGGCCAUUUUGGAGCCCAUUGAAGUCUAUGGAAAAAGGAAACGAAUAUCCCCAGAUAAAUACCAGAAAGAAGCCAUCUGUGAAACUGCUUUGUGAUGUGUGGAUUAAUCUCACAGACUUAAGCGUUUCUAUGCAUUCAUGAGGUUGGAAACAAUAUUUCUGGAAAAUGUGAGAAGGGACAUUUGGAAGCCCAUUGAGGCCUAAGGGGAAAAACUGAAUAUCCACUUAUAAAAACUAGAAAGAAGCUAUAUGUGAAACUGCUUUCUGAUGUAUGGAUUCAUCUCACAGAGCUAAGUUUCUUUUGAUUCAGCAGGAUGAGAACACUCUUUUUGGAAAAACAGAAAAAAAUACACAUUUGGGCACCCAUUGAGGCCUAUGGAGAAAAACAGAAUAUCCUUAGAUGAAAACUAGAAAGAAGCCUGGAAACACUCUUUAUGUGGAGUCUGCGAAGGGAUUUUGGAAGCCCGUUGAGGCCUAGGAGAAAAACUGAAUAUCUAAAGAUAAAAACUAGGAAGAGCUAUCUGUGAACCCACUUUGUGAUGUGUGGAUUCAUCUCACAGAGUUUGGAACACUCUAUUUGGAGAACCUGUGAAAAGAUUUUGGAAGCCCAUAGAAGCCUGUAGGUAAAAAGCAAAUAUUGACAGAUAAAAACUACAAAGAAGAUAUCUGUGAAACUGGUCUGCAUUGUGUGGAUUCAUCUCAGAGAAUUAAACAUUUUUUUGGAUCCAGUAGGUUUGAAACACACAUUUUGGAGAAUCUGCAAAGGGACAAUUGGUAGCCCAUUGAGGCCUGUAAGAAAAACAGAAUAUCCCCAGAUAAAAACUACAAAGAACCUAUCUAUGAAACUGCUUUGUUUUGUCUGAAUUCAUCUUAGAGAGUUAAACCAUUUUUUUUAUCCAGCAGGUUGGAAACGCUCUUUUUGGAGAAUCUGCAAAGAGACAAUUGGGAGCCCUUUGAGGCCUAUGGGGAAAAGCAAAUAUUUCCAGAUAAAAGCUAGGAAG